UGUAAUUUUUCAUUUGUGAAGGGUAAAAGCACAGUGGUGCCAAAAAUCCCUGCUAGUUCACUCCAGGCUCUGCAGGCUGGUUGAGGACUCUGGGCACUGGGUUCUGGUUUCCCCUAGCACUGACCUACCCCACAGAUGCACUCUGAAGCUGGAAACCAUCAAUAAGCAAAGUUUGCAAAAAGCCAGACUCAGGGGGCAGGACUGUGGGCAGGGGGAGAGGCCCAGGCUGUUCAUUCCCAGCCUCUCCUUCCCCUGCCAUGGUGGGGACAGAGUGGAAUCACACCUGCCUGUGGCUCUGUCAGAAAUGGCUGUGCCCACCCGUGGCCCUGCCCUGAGGGUGCCUUCAGCAGCACAGGAAGGGCUCCAAGGCCUCGUGGUAGCCACUCCUCUGCUGCCUUCAGAGCUGUACUUGGAAAUGUGCAACAUUAGCAAACCACUUAAAAUGGGGCGUUAAAAAAGCUUUGCAGUGGUUAGGUGAACUCAAAGAAAAAAGUCUGCACUUUCUGAUGUACCCCUUACCUGUCCUUUCCUCUUGCCAAAGCUGCUGGAUGCUGGAUUGGAGGUGUAUCCGUAUUCCCCAGGAGAAGCUGAAGAUGGCACACAGGAAGCAGUACAGAUAACCUUGAGGCUCCCUGAUAAUGUGAUUUAUUUUCAAGCACCUGUGGUAGCCCGAUGGGAUCCUGCAGGCCAGCAGUUGAGAACUGAUGGCAUCAGAAAGAUAGCCUAUGAAGCAGAAGAAAAGAGCAUCACCUUUAGCAUGGGUGCCUUUCAUACAGUAGCCCUCCUCCAGGAUGCUCACCUGAACCUGCCCUAUCAGGCCUGGGAAUUGCACCCUGCUGGUGUGGAUGAAGGACUCUUCACAGUUACUGCAGUCUUUGCAACCAUUCAGAUACAAAUUAAGUGGUGGAAGAGGAGGAGGUGCUUUCCCACAUCGCAGGAAAAUGGAUGAGUCCUUUUGCCCUCAGAGCAGCUUUGAAAAGAGCUGGAGUGAACAUUUUCCCAGCAGGGCACUCUCCCAAGUAUGUCCCUGUGCCCGGAGCGAGUCGUGUUCAAGGCAAGGGAACAUCUCACAGCGGGUUCUGCCAAAGACAGUGACUGGUCUCUUUUCAUGUUGGACGGUGAGAAGGUACAAAACCUCAAGCUCACUGAGACCAGUGAAGCUUUUUCAGAAGAGCUGGAAGAAGAGUCUGAAUUUCACUCCACACUCUACCAUAUGCUCAAGGCUUCUGCCAGCAGUGAAGCCAUGGAUAAAGUGGAAAGACCUGGCUUCCUGUUUGUUGAUUCUGUGUAUCAGCUGCUCCUUGCUACCAGAGUUUUAGCAUACUCUUAAAUACUGCAUGCUUUCUUUUACAACUUUAUUAUCAAAAGCUUUCAGUAAAGUUACAUUUCAAGUCUUAAAUCCUUUUCUAUUCAAAACAUUGAAACAGGUUCUGAAAUGCAAACAUUUUAUCUUUGUUCAAGCAAAAUAAAUUCUUAUUCAAUUGUGGCUA